CGGGAUGUGGCGCAGUUUGGUAGCGCGCUUGCUUUGGGAGCAAGAUGCCGCAGGUUCGAAUCCUGUCAUCCCGACCA
rnacentral:tRNA from 1 species